GGAGUUCUUGCUUUGCAGCAUCAAGUUCAGUAAACACAGUCAUGUACUGUUCCCUGGCAGACUCCAGGUCCUGCUUCCUAGCACCAUCAGAUGCAGAAGUAUCACCACUCUUUGCUGCUUCAAUUUCCUUUGCCUGGCUUUUAGCAGUUUCUGUUUCCUUAAUUGCUGAAUCUUUAGAUUCAGUGACAUUUCCAAGUUUUCGGGUCAGAUCCUCAACUGUUCUUUUAGCCUUUUCAAGUUCAAUGAGUGCUUGCGCUUUAGUUGUUUCUGUAUUCUUCAGUUGAUCCUUUAACUUGUUCAGCUCCUUCUGGGCCAGGUGGAGCUGUGUUUCCUUGGCCAAAACUCUCUCUGCAGAAUGAGGUUUUGCCUUCCUGAUGGCUGGUUUUUCUCCUGAGAAAGUGCCUUCAUCAAAGAGUGUGACAGCAUCUUUAACAGACUGAAAUGGUGCACUGGUGUCAAUCUCUCCCACCUCUACUUUGGGAGAAUCUGUCGCACUUUGACGUUCUUUUGCACCCAUACCAAUUAAUUUAUAUAUAUUCUUAAAUUAUCACCCAAAACAAACCCUAAUCAAGCUCCAGAGAGAAAAACCAAAUGGUCAAAAUGAAAUCUUGACAUCCUCACUAAGUUAGGAAACGAUAAAUGAUCGUUGAUCAUCUUCUUCAUGAUCCCACGAAAACCCUUUAACCUUUGGACACAAAGACUCAAACCCACCAAUGAAUCCUAAAAAACAGGGGAGGCGAGAAUCUCCAAGAAAAUUCGGCAAUGAUUUUCUCAGCCAAGUAAGCAGUUCCUUAGAUAAUCUCUGAGUUUUUGAAUCAAAAGUUGAAAAAGGAUGCCUUUUUGGGAAUCGAAACGGCAAAGUUGAGAUGCUGAGAGAGAGAAAGAGCGAGAGGGGGAAAAGUUUGAACUGUU
rnacentral:misc_RNA from 1 species